rnacentral:misc_RNA from 1 species
GAUGAAGAACGUAGCGAAAUGCGAUACGUAAUGUGAAUUGCAGAAUUCAGUGAAUCAUCGAAUCUUUGAACGCACAUUGCGCCCGCCAGUAUUCUGGCGGGCAUGCCUGUUCGAGCGUCAUUUCAACCAUCAAGCCCCCGGCUUGUGUUGGGGACCUGCGGCUGCCGCAGGCCCUGAAAAGCAGUGGCGGGCUCGCUGUCACACCGAGCGUAGUAGCAUACAUCUCGCUCUGGGCGUGCUGCGGGUUCCGGCCGUUAAACCACCUUCAUAACCCAAGGUUGACCUCGGAUCAGGUAGGAAGACCCGCUGAACUUAAGCAUAUCAAUAACGGAGGA